rnacentral:rRNA from 1 species
UACGUAGGGUGCGAGCGUUGUCCGGAAUUAUUGGGCGUAAAGAGCUUGUAGGCGGUUUGUCGCGUCUGCCGUGAAAAUUCGAGGCUCAACCUCGAACUUGCGGUGGGUACGGGCAGGCUAGAGUGUGGUAGGGGGAGAUGGAAUUCCUGGUGUAGCGGUGAAAUGCGCAGAUAUCAGGAGGAACACCGAGUGAAGGCGGAUCUCUGGGCCAUACUGACGCUGAGAGCGAAAGCUGGGGAGCGAACAGG